rnacentral:rRNA from 1 species
UGAGGAAUAUUGGUCAAUGGGCGCAAGCCUGUACCAGCCAUCCCGCGUGAAGGAAGAAUGCGCUACGCGUUGUAAACUUCUUUUCCAGGGGGAGAAUUUUCCUGUCGAGACAGGGAUUGACGGUACCCUGGGAAUAAGCAUCGGCUAACUCCGUGCCAGCAGCCGCGGUAAUACGGAGGAUGCGAGCGUUAUCCGGAUUUAUUGGGUUUAAAGGGUUCGUAGGCGGAUUGAUAAGUCAGUGGUGAAAUUCUGCAGCUUAACUGUAGACUUGCCGUUGAUACUGUUAGUCUUGAGUGUGGUCAAGGAAGGCGGAAUGUGUAAUGUAGCGGUGAAAUGCUUAGAUAUUACACAGAACACCGAUUGCGAAGGCAGCUUGCUGGGUCAUUACUGACG